CUUUAUAUGCUGUGCUUUCGUCUUUAUAUGCUGUGCUUUCUUCUUUAUAUGCUGUGCUUUUCUCUUGAAGAAGAAAGCACAGCAUAUAAAGGCGAAAGCACAGCAUAUAAAGAAGAAAGCACAGCAUAUAAAGACGAAAGCACCGCAUAUAAAGACGAAAGCACAGCAUAUAAAG
rnacentral:miRNA from 1 species